GAUGAAGAACGAAGCGAAAUGCGAUAAGUAAUGUGAAUUGCAGAAUUCAGUGAAUCAUCGAAUCUUUGAACGCACAUUGCGCCCGCCAGUAUUCUGGCGGGCAUGCCUGUUCGAGCGUCAUUUCAACCCUCAGGCCCCCAGUGCCUGGUGUUGGGGAUCGGCCCAGCCUUCCUGUAAGGCCGCCGGCCCCGAAAUCUAGUGGCGGUCUCGCUGUAGUCCUCCUCUGCGUAGUAGCACAACCUCGCAGUUGGAACGCGGCGGUGGCCAUGCCGUUAAACACCCCACUUCUGAAAGUUGGCCUCGGAUCAGGCAGGAAUACCCGCUGAACUUAAGCAUAUCAAUAAGCGGAGGA
rnacentral:misc_RNA from 1 species